rnacentral:rRNA from 1 species
AGCCAAUAGAUACCCAGGUAGUCCACGCCCUAAACGAUGUCUACUAGUUGUUGGUGGAGUAAAAUCCAUGAGUAAACGCAGCUAACGCGUGAAGUAGACCGCCUGGGGAGUACGGUCGCAAGAUUAAAACUCAAAGGAAUUGGCGGGGGCCCGCACAAGCGGUGGAUUAUGUGGAUUAAUUCGAUGCAACGCGAAAACCUUACCUGGCCUUGACAUGCCACUAACGAAGCAGAGAUGCAUUAGGUGCCCGUAAGGGAAAGUGGACACAGGUGCUGCAUGGCUGUCGUCAGCUCGUGUCGUGAGAUGUUGGGUUAAAGUCCCGCAACGAGCGCAACCCUUGCCAUUAAUUGCCAUCAUUUAGUUGGGCACUUUAAUGGGACUGCCGGUGACAAACCGGAGGAAGGUGGGGAUGACGUCAAGUCCUCAUGGCCCUUAUGGCCAGGGCUUCACACGUAAUACAAUGGUCGGUACAGAGAGUUGCCAACCCGCGAGGGGGAGCUAAUCUCAGAAAGCCGAUCGUAGUCCGGAUUGUUCUCU